UGUGGAUAGGGGAGAAAUUCCAAUCGAACCCGGAGAUAGCUGGUUCUCCUCGAAAUAGCUUUAGGGCUAGCCUCGAUUUAGUCUUAUGGAGGUAGAGCACUGAAUUUCCGCGGGGGCGUCAAAGCUUACCAAAGAAUAUCAAACUCCGAAUGCCAUGUAGAUGAUGAUCGGGAGUCAGACUGCACGAGAUAAGUUGGGCAGUCAAAAGGGAAAGAGCCCAGACCACCGGCUAAGGUCCCAAAGUGCGUGUUAAGUGGAAAAGGAUGUGGGAAUUCGAAGACAACUAGGAUGUUGGCUCAGAAGCAGCCAUACAUUCAAAGAGUGCGUAACAGCUCACUAGUCGAGAGUUCCUGCGCCGAAAAUGUCCGGGGCUGAAACACGACACCGAAGCCGUGGACUCGCAAUGCGAGUGGUAGAGGAGCAUUCUUAAAACCGACGAAGCUGUACCGGAAGGAGCAGUGGAGGGAUAAGAAGAGAGAAUGCCGGAAUGAGUAGCGAGAGAAAGGUGGGAAUCCUUUCGGCCGAAUAUCUAAGGUUUCCAGAGUAAAGCUGAUCUGCUCUGGGUAAGUCGGGGCCUAAGCACAGGUCGCAAGACGUAAGCGAUGGAUAACAGGUUUAGAUUCCUGUACCACGCAUUAUCAGAACUGUAGGGACGCAUGUGGAAAGCACGAGCCGGGAAUGGAAAGACCGGUACAAGCGAGGUAGGUGUACAAUAGGCAAAUCCGUUGUAUAAUCCGAAGACGUGAUGUGGAGCGAAAUAAAGUAGCAAAGCGUGUGAGCCAUGUGCCGAGAAAAGCUGCUAUUGUGUAAUGCGUGCCCGUACCGUAAACCGACACAGGUGGAUGAGGAGAGAAUCCUAAGGCCGGCGGAAGAAGCAUUGUUAAGGAAUUCGGCAAAAUGACCCCGUAACUUCGGGAGAAGGGGUGCCUGCGAGAGCAGGCCGCAGAGAAUAGGCUCAAGCAACUGUUUAGCAAAAACACAGGUCUAUGCGAAACCGAAAGGUGAAGUAUAUGGGCUGACGCCUGCCCGGUGCUGGAAGGUUAAGAGGAGAGGUUAGCGUAAGCGAAGCUUUGAAUUUAAGCCCCAGUAAACGGCGGCCGUAACUAUAACGGUCCUAAGGUAGCGAAAUUCCUUGUCGGGUAAGUUCCGACCC
rnacentral:rRNA from 1 species